UACAGAGGUCCCAAGCGUUGUUCGGAUUCAUUGGGCGUAAAGGGUGCGUAGGCGGCGCGGUAAGUCGAGUGUGAAAUCUCGGAGCUUAACUUCGAAACUGCAUUCGAUACUGCCGUGCUUGAGGACUGGAGAGGAGACUGGAAUUUACGGUGUAGCGGUGAAAUGCGUAGAUAUCGUAAGGAAGACCAGUGGCGAAGGCGGGGUCUCUGGACAGUUCCUGACGCUGAGGCACGAAGGCCAGGGGGAGCAAACGGG
rnacentral:rRNA from 1 species